ensembl:lncRNA
CGCCAGCCUCAACCCUUGCCGUGGGCUGGUUGUCACCAAGCAGAACAGGCUGUCCAGUUCCCCGUCAUCCGACAUGAAAUAUGAAGACCCCACUGCCACUACAGGGCUGCUUCUGCAAGUAAACUCUGGAUGCUCUUGCUGACUUCUCUGAGUGAAAAUUGAAUCAAGUUGUUUUGCCCUUCUUCCUCCUUCUGCCAGCUCAGUGUCAAGCAUUUUCCUUCUCUUUUUAUGUCCUUAUAACCUAGAAGUCUAAUUCCAAGUCUUGAUCUUCCGUUUCCCUUCUCAGUUCCUUUCUCAUACUCCUGAACCUUUCAGUAUUCUCUCUAUUUCAGCUCACACGAUAAAGUGCUUUAUUUUUUCAAGUUGUGAGCAUUCUUCUUGUCUACAUAUGCAUCUCUGGAAGCCUUGUUCCCUUUCCUCACUAGGCUUGCUCAGUUUUCUUUAUCCACUUCCUCUGUUCUGUGUACCCAACUAUACAUCUCACUGAAAUAACUCUCAACAAAACCUUCCCCUAUUUCUUCUUGGACAAAACCUGAGAGCAGAAUGCCAGCCCUAGGCCCUUGACCCAUCAGCCACUUUUGACAUCAUUGCUUACUCUGUGAAUUCUGCACAUCUGUGACUCAGUCCUUCACUGAUGCUGCUCUUGUUGACUGAAGGAGGCACUUCACCUCCGUCCCCACCCUCCAAUUUUGUGUUGACUUUGCAGAUAGUAAUCCUUUGCCUCUUCUGCUCCCAUACUUUUCUCUUGGCAAUCCUGUCUAUGCAUACAAACCCAAGCAUCAUUGCUAUGACAGUGACUCACAAACCUAUUCUGAGCUUUUUUUUCUUUUAUCCAAAACUGUGUCUAUUUCUUUCAGAGUUUUAUUCAUAAUGAACAAACAGAAAAGAUGCUGAAUUUUCUGGCCCUCCACAAAACUGAAACUCUUGCAGAGGAUUGGGAUUGCUUGCUUUUAUUCAUGGAAACAUCCCAUUUUCUGGACAAAUUGGAUCAUAUGCUUGUGUUUUAAAAUUGCUCUGUAAAUGUGAUUUCCUUAACUUAUUGGUGUGACCAAGUCACAUCUGUCUUGGCUACAUUCCUCUGGCAGCCCUUUUCUCAUGGCAGUUCUUCUGUUUCAUCAAAUUGUUUCACCAAACAGAAGCUACUCUUCGCUUUGAAGACAUCCUCCUAAUUCACAUACAUUGUACAGCUAUAGCAUGGUCUGCUGAAACCCUGCUGGCCAUACUCAAAUCAGAAUCAGUUCCUCUGGUGCUUCUCUUUUGGCAGCCAGCAUCAUUCCAGCACGCAGCACAGGGGAAAAGCAGGCACACACACAGCCCUCUACUGCCUGUGGCAGCCAGAGCACCUCUCAGCCACACUGCCUCACCUGCUGACACAAUCCAUCAGCGCCCACCGAAAUCAAAUGCAGCUAAUUGGAAGGUGAUGACAGCCAUGGGACUGCUGGAUUUGCAUGCUAAUUCCUCUAUUUUAGCAUCCCACAGCCAGGCUACAGGUAAAAUGAGACUGAGCGCUUCAUUCCAGACGAUUUCCUGUCUUCUAUUCCACAGCACACAAGCACAUAUACCCAUAUAUUUUCUCUUGGCUUUGCUGUCCUGAAGCCAAAAAUCAGCUGGAGAUUGCAUUACAUGUGCUUUCCAAAAAAGCCAGCCAAGAACUGCAAGGGGCAACAUGUUUUUGUCCUCUCACUGGGACAGGGCUGCAGACUGCAGCUGUAGAUGAGCCUUUAAACAUCAGAGCAGCACAACUGAUGACUGCAGAGCGGAGCACUUUCCGCAGGCUGGGUUACAGCUUCCUUGUGCCUUUUAUGCCAGUGCAUACAAUGGAUUCUCAGCUCUUGUUUCAUGCAGAAUUGUUGAAUUAUGCUUUGAGUAUCCAACCUCUACCACUGUUCUACCACUGGCAUCUGCCCUUGCUCCGAGUCUACCAAUUAUUUCCUUUAAGUGUCAGCAGCACACCAGGCACACAGAGAUAUAACCUUACUUCAAGUUGAUGCUGUUAAACUAUUGCUUGAAACUGAAGUUGCAGUUGACAAGUGCUACUUCAGUCACUAAUAACAACUUCAGAAGUGCUAGUGGUGUCUUGGCUCUUAAUGCUGUGGCUCAGAGCUCUAGGAACGUCUUUCCAGGUCAUUUAGAGCCAUCCAUCUGAUUUGAAACAAGAGCAGUCAAUCUCUUCACAGGCUCUGCUCCUUGCUUUCUGCAAGGUCCUCUGUUCAUCCCCUCAGGGCGGCAGCAGUGGCUCAUCUGGGCAGCUGGCUGCCUUGUGGAAGAACCCCAUUUUGGGACCUGCAACAAUGUCAGUGUUUGCGUCAAGAAAAAGGUUGAACUCUCUCCUGAGAAAGUCAGUCUGUCUGUAUGGAAGGAGCAAGACAAGCGCUCAGACACAAGUCCCAGCUUUGCAGCUGCAGCCCCUGUGAUUCAAAAUACCAACACCACCACCUGGAAAUCCAUCUCAGAUGCCGCUCCUUCUUCAAGCAGAGUUUCCCACCUGUCUCAAACCAGGGGUUUUAGACAAUCAUGGAACUACCUGUGAAUAAUGCUGUGGUUCUGCUUCCUCCAGUGUGUCUUCAUAGGCCUGAUGUCAGCUUCUUUCUUGUGGAGACAAAGGUGACGGCAAAGAAAGAGGAGGUUGUUGUCAGAAGCUCAGAAGUAAACAAAAGGUUUCUUUAGGUAUAAUUGACUCAGAGAAAGAAAACAUUCCCAGUAAACACAGAAAUAUAAAUAAAUAAAGAUGCUCUUCCCAAGAAUUGAACCGUCUCAGCUGAACUUUUUUUUUUCCUAUGUGCCUUCAUUAAAAACAGCAGAAUUUGGCAAAAAUAAAAAAAUAAAAAAUAAAAAAUCCCUCUGUGUUCAACUCAUGAAUGUUUCUAGAAAAUAUCAGCUUUCAUACGCAAAUAUUCUUGAAGUGAAAUUGGUGGCUUCCUUU